UACGUAGGGUGCGAGCGUUGUCCGGAAUUACUGGGCGUAAAGAGCUCGUAGGUGGUUUGUCGCGUUGUCCGUGAAAACUCACAACUCAAUUGUGGGCGUGCGGGCGAUACGGGCAGACUGGAGUACUGCAGGGGGAGACUGGAAUUCCUGGUGUAGCGGUGAAAUGCGCAGAUAUCAGGAGGAACACCGGUGGCGAAGGCGGGGUCUCUGGGCAGUAACUGACGCUGAGGAGCGAAAGCGUGGGGAGCGAACAGG
rnacentral:rRNA from 1 species